GUGGGGAAUCUUGCGCAAUGGGCGAAAGCCUGACGCAGCCAUGCCGCGUGGAUGAUGACGGUCUUAGGAUUGUAAAAUCCUUUCACCGGUGAAGAUAAUGACUGUAGCCGGAGAAGAAGCCCCGGCUAACUUCGUGCCAGCAGCCGCGGUAAUACGAAGGGGGCUAGCGUUGCUCGGAUUUACUGGGCGUAAAGGGCGCGUAGGCGGACAUUUAAGUCAGGGGUGAAAUCCCGGGGCUCAACCUCGGAACUGCCUUUGAUACUGGGUGUCUUGAGUAUGAGAGAGGUGUGUGGAACUCCGAGUGUAGAGGUGAAAUUCGUAGAUAUUCGGAAGAACACCAGUGGCGAAGGCGACACACUGGCUCAUUACUGACGCUGAGGCGCGAAAGCGUGGGGAGCAAACAGGAUUAGAUACCCGAGUAGUCC
rnacentral:rRNA from 1 species